rnacentral:rRNA from 1 species
GACCUCAAGUCAUGUGAGAGUACCCGCUGAACUUAAGCAUAUCAAUAAGCGGAGGAAAAGAAACUAACAAGGAUUCCCCUAGUAACGGCGAGUGAAGCGGGAAGAGCACAAAUUUAAAAUCUACCUGGUUUCCAGGUCGAGUUGUAAUUUGAAGAAACGUUUUUGACGUUCCGGGUUGGGAUAAAUCCUUUGGGAUGAGGUAUCAUGGAGGGUGAGAAUCCCGUGUAUACCAACCGCAGGGAUGUUAUUUAAUACGUUUUCUAAGAGUCGAGUUGUUUGGGAAUGCAGCUCUAAAUGGGUGGUAAAUUUCACCUAAUGCUAAAUAUAAGCGAGAGACCGAUAGCGAACAAGUACCGUGAGGGAAAGAUGAAAAGAACUUUGAAAAGAGAGUUAAAUAGUACGUGAAAUUGUUGAAAGGGAAACGAUUGAAGUCAGUCAUGCCGGCGGGAAUCAACUUAGGGGAAACUUUAAGUGCACUUCACGUUUGGCAGGUCAGCGUCGAUUUUGGAUAUCAUAAAAUGAUUGGGGGAAGGUAGCUCCUUCGGGAGUGUUAUAGCCCUUGAUAGAUGUGAUGUCUGGGAUCGAGGAUUGCAACGGAUAUCCUUUGGGCUAGCCGCCUGAUCUCUAAGUGGUGUUAGGUUACGGACAGCAUGCUGACCGUGAUUUAAUUACUGGUUAAAAGGUUAGGGCGAGUGUAAAUUCGUUAAGGACGCUGACGUAAUGGCUUUAAACGACCCGUCUUGAAACACGGACCAAGGAGUCUAACAUAUGUGCGAGUGUUU